rnacentral:rRNA from 1 species
GAUGAACGCUGGCGGCGUGCCUAACACAUGCAAGUCGAGCGAACAGACGAGGAGCUUGCUCCUCUGACGUUAGCGGCGGACGGGAGAGUAACACGUGGAUAACCUACCUAUAAGACUGGGAUAACUUCGGGAAACCGGAGCUAAUACCGUAUAAUAUAUUGAACCGCAUGGUUCAAUAGUGAAAGACGGUGUUGCUGUCAAUUAUUGAUUACCUCGUUGCGCAUUAGCAAGUUGGUAAGGUAAAGGCUUACCAAGGCAACGAGGCGUAGCCGGCCUGAGAGGAAGAACAGCCACACUGGAACUGAGACACGGUCCAGACUCCUACGGGAGGCAGCAGUGGGGAAUCUUGCACAAUGGGCGAAAGCCUGACCCAGCAAUGCCGCGUGAGUGAUGAAGGCCUUCGGGUCGUAAAGCUCUGUUGUCAGGGAAGAAACAGUGUAUGCUAAUAUCUGCUCGUAAUGACGGUACCUGAAGAAUAAGCACCGGCUAACUACGUG